rnacentral:rRNA from 1 species
CACGUAGGGCGCAAGCGUUGUCCGGAAUUAUUGGGCGUAAAGGGCUCGUAGGCGGUCUGUUGCGUCAGGAGUGAAAACUCGGGGCUUAACCCCGAGCCUGCUUCUGAUACGGGCAGACUAGAGGUAUGCAGGGGAGAACGGAAUUCCUGGCGUAGCGGUGAAAUGCGCAGAUAUCAGGAGGAACACCGGUGGCGAAGGCGGUUCUCUGGGCAUUACCUGACGCUGAGGAGCGAAAGUGUGGGGAGCGAACAGG